ensembl:lncRNA LSP1P5 LSP1 pseudogene 5
GCUCUUCACCAGAGCCUCCUGACUCCCCAGGACCCCAGAGAGGACCGACCCUCUCCAGCCGACCUCUGGGCUCAGGACAGCUGGGUGGGGCAGCCACAGGAGCUGCCUGUAGGGAGCAGAGUCAGGACGGGGACCGAGCCGGACACCCAUUCUGGAAGUGUCUGCACUUCCAGACUGCUGGCCAGACCCCCAAGCUAGCCCGCCAGGCCUCCAUAGAGCUGCCCAGCAUGGCUGCGUCCAGUACCAAGAGUUGGUGGGAGACGGGUGAAGUACAGGCUCAGUCUGCGGCCAAGACUCCAUCCUGCAAGGAUAUUGUGGCUGGAGACAUGAGCAAGAAAAGCCUCUGGGAGCAGAAGGGAGGCUCCAAGACCUCAUCAACAAUUAAGCAUUCCGGUCCCUGGAGGAAACAUCAGACAAACACAGAUGGAGGGACCUUCAAGGACUGACCUGAACUGUUCUUCGGUGUCAACCCCAUGAUAGACAAAAAGAGGCAGAGGAACUGUUCCAGAUUAAGGGAGACUAAAAAGGUAUGACAGCUGGAUCAGGGGAAACGUGCCUUAAAGGGCAUUAUUGGGACUGUUGGCGAAAUUUUAAGUGAACUGUAUAUUAGACAAUUAUCAAGGACUACACGAUUGUAUGGCAUCAACCUCAAAUUCCCCGAACUUGAGCACUAGAGUCUUCUUGUUCUGAUGGAAUAUGUUCUGAAAUGUUUAAGGGAGAGGAGAAGGAUGCCUGCAACUGAAUUUCAAAUGGUUCAGGGAAAGAUAAUAGAGUAGAAUAGACUAUAUAGAUGGAGAAAGUAAAUGUGGCAAAUAACAAUUGGUGAAGGUGGGUGAAGGGCAUGAAAGUUCUUUGCCUUACAAUUAAUUCUUCUAUAAGUCUGAAAUUAUUUGAAAAUAAGAGAAAUGCUUUCAGCUGUGAAUAACAGAAAGUCUGACUACUUGUGGCUUUUGCAAUAAAGACAUUUAGUUAUGUAACAUAACAGGAUUUAAGAGGAAGAAGGCAAGGACUUGAAAAGGCUCAGUGAUGUAGCUGAGGCCCCAGAUUCCUUUUAUCAUUUUGUCCAAAGGCUCCACCUUCCUGAAUAUUACUGCUUUAUACCCU